UGAGGAAUAUUGGUCAAUGGCCGGAAGGCUGAACCGGCCAAGUCGCGUGAGGGAAUAAGGCCCUAUGGGUCGUAAACCUCUUUUGUCAGGGAGCAAAGGCGUCCACGUGUGGACGAGAGGAGAGUACCUGAAGAAAAAGCAUCGGCUAACUCCGUGCCAGCAGCCGCGGUAAUACGGAGGAUGCGAGCGUUAUCCGGAUUUAUUGGGUUUAAAGGGUGCGUAGGCGGAGUGUCAAGUCAGCGGUAAAAUUUCGGGGCUCAACCCCGUCGUGCCGUUGAAACUGACACCCUUGAGUGAGUGAGAAGUAAGCGGAAUGCGUGGUGUAGCGGUGAAAUGCAUAGAUAUCACGCAGAACUCCGAUUGCGAAGGCAGCAUACCGGCGCUCAACUGACGCUGAGGCACGAAAGCGUGG
rnacentral:rRNA from 1 species